CUGUUCAGGAAUGCCAGGCCCUGAGAACUGUGCCAAAAUCUGAAGUGAGGAGGUCUUACCUUUGGUGCAGAGGAUCAUCUUAGGGUGUGUUUGAAUAGAGUAGACACAUGCAAACCCGUGAGGUCUGAUGGGUUGCACCCAUAAGUGUGGUGAGAGCGGGCAGAUGUCAUAAUGAGACCACUCUUAAUUCCAUUUUAAAGGGUGUGGCAAGUGGGAGAGGUUACUGGGGACUGGAAAAGAGAAAGUCAUUCCUGUCUUCAGAAAGGCCAGGAUGGAGGACCCAGGGAACCAGAGGACUCUCAGCCUCACCUCAGUUGCUGGAAACCUGAUGGAGCAUGUUGCAACUCAGAGAUGAGCUCUUCUCUUUGGUAUCCACCAUUGUAUCCUGCUCCCACGUCACCAAGAGCUCCUGAUGAUCACCC
rnacentral:lncRNA from 12 species